rnacentral:misc_RNA from 1 species
GAUGAAGAACGCAGCGAAAUGCGAUAAGUAAUGCGAAUUGCAGAAUUUCCGUGAGUCAUCGAAUCUUUGAACGCACAUUGCGCCCACUGGUAUUCCGGUGGGCAUGCCUGUUCGAGCGUCAUUAUCCUCCCUCAAACCCCGGGUUUGGUGUUGGACCCAAGUUGUGUGAACAACUGGUCUCAAAGACAAUGACGGCGUCCGUGGGACCCUCGGUGCAACGAGCUUUUAGGAGCACGCAUCGAGUUGCAAGGACCUUCCGGGCCGGUCUCCUUUACCAUUUUACGAGGUUGACCUCGGAUCAGGUAGGAAUACCCGCUGAACUUAAGCAUAUCAAUAAGCGGAGGA